AGUGGGGAAUAUUUGCGACAAUGGGGCGCAAGCCUGAUGCAGCCAUGCCGCGUGUGUGAAGAAGGCCUUCGGGUUGUAAAGCACUUUCAGCGGGGAGGAAGGCGAUGAGGUUAAUAACCUUGUCGAUUGACGUUACCCGCAGAAGAAGCACCGGCUAACUCCGUGCCAGCAGCCGCGGUAAUACGGAGGGUGCAAGCGUU
rnacentral:rRNA from 1 species